rnacentral:rRNA from 1 species
UACGUAGGGGGCAAGCGUUGUCCGGAUUUAUUGGGCGUAAAGAGCGUGUAGGCGGCCAAGCAGGUCCGUUGUGAAAACUGGAGGCUUAACCUCCAGACGUCGACGGAAACCGCGUGGCUAGAGUCCGGAAGAGGAGAGUGGAAUUCCUGGUGUAGCGGUGAAAUGCGCAGAUAUCAGGAAGAACACCAGUGGCGAAGGCAGGUCU